AGUCGCCAGAUGUAAACUCAGGCGACCUAGUGAUUGGAGAUCGCCAGAGCAAGCACAUCGCCAGAGAUGAAGGUGGUGCAGAUUAUGAAGGCGGCCGGCGAAGACCACAGGGAAGGUGUAUGAAGGCCCCCUAACUCGCCAGUUCCAGUAGAGAUCGCACUCCCAAGUUAGCUAUGCACUGGGCAGCACCAUGCAUAAGUAACUUAGCCAAAAAGAGAGUCAGAAGCAGCGCCCAAGUCAA
rnacentral:lncRNA from 1 species